UAGGGAAUAUUGGUCAAUGGGUGCAAGCCUGAACCAGCCAUGCCGCGUGCAGGAAGACGGCCUUCUGGGUUGUAAACUGCUUUUGCCAGGGGAUAAAAGACCGAUGCGUCGGGAAUUGAAGGUACCUGGUGAAUAAGCCACGGCUAACUACGUGCCAGCAGCCGCGGUAAUACGUAGGUGGCGAGCGUUGUCCGGAUUUAUUGGGUUUAAAGGGUGCGUAGGCGUCCUGACAAGUUUUAGGUGAAAUGCCCAGGCUUAACCUGGGAGCUGCCUGAAAAACUGUUGGGAUUGAGUACAGACGAGGUGGGCGGAAUUGACGGUGUAGCGGUGAAAUGCAUAGAUAUCGUCAGGAACACCGAUAGCGAAGGCAGCUUACUAGACUGUAACUGACGCUGAGGCACGAAAGUGUGGGGAUCAAACAGGAUCAGAUACCCUGGUAGUCCACACUGUAAACGUUGAUGACUCGCUGUGUGCGAUAUACGGUACGCGGCUAAGCGAAAGCGAUAAGUCAUCCACCUGGGGAGUACGCCGGCAACGGUG
rnacentral:rRNA from 1 species